GAUGAAGAACGUAGCGAAAUGCGAUAAGUAAUGUGAAUUGCAGAAUUCAGUGAAUCAUCGAAUCUUUGAACGCACAUUGCGCCCCCUGGUAUUCCGGGGGGCAUGCCUGUCCGAGCGUCAUUUCACCACUCAAGCCUCGCUUGGUAUUGGGCAACGCGGUCCGCCGCGUGCCUCAAAUCGACCGGCUGGGUCUUCUGUCCCCUAAGCGUUGUGGAAACUAUUCGCUAAAGGGUGUUCGGGAGGCUACGCCGUAAAACAACCCCAUUUCUAAGGUUGACCUCGGAUCAGGUAGGGAUACCCGCUGAACUUAAGCAUAUCAAUAAGCGGAGGA
rnacentral:misc_RNA from 1 species